UACGUAGGUGGCAAGCGUUGUCCGGAAUUAUUGGGCGUAAAGCGCGCGCAGGCGGUCCUUUAAGUCUGAUGUGAAAGCCCACGGCUCAACCGUGGAGGGUCAUUGGAAACUGGGGACUUGAGUGCAGAAGAGGAAAGCGGAAUUCCACGUGUAGCGGUGAAAUGCGUAGAGAUGUGGAGGAACACCAGUGGCGAAGGCGGCUUCUGGUCUGUAACUGACGCUGAGGCGCGAAGCGUGGAGCAAACAGG
rnacentral:rRNA from 1 species